AUUUUCACUAUCUGGCCAGCUGUCCACAUGUACAGUCACAGAGAAGAGGAACUAACACCAUGUGAGAUGGGCACCAAUCCCUACAGGAUUUUGAAGAUUAAAAUAAACUAAGGAUCAAAAUGAAAGAGUGAUUUGACCAACUAGUAACCAACUGCAAAAAGAUUCCUAUAAUGCAGGCUAACUUCAAGCCCAGAGCCCUUCCCAUUCCAUCACACCUUAAAGGGCAAAUCAGCAUCACUGCUCGUGAUAGCAAUUGUUUCAUUAAAAAAAAAAAAAGGCAAGACAAGCAAACCUCUGGUAGGAGAAUGUUCUAAGAGCACUUGCUACAACAACCUUGGGCAAAGAAGUCACUUUACCUUUUGAGGGCAUCCGAAAAGCAAAAGCACAGAGGAGAUGUGUCAACUAUCUGGAACAGCCCCUCCUGGACCCUUAAGAAUAUCCAAAGGGUAAGAAUGAAUGAGAAAAGCGGCGACCUGUGUGCUCUAGAGCCAAGAGCCAUUCUUAAGAGAAACAGGUGGUGGAGAAGAAGGAACCAAGAGGAACCAUAAGCCUAACAGCUAAAGCAACAGCUGAAAGUCUCAGAAGCACUGCUUCAAUCUUCCCGAAGUCAUGAUCAGAAGCCGCACUCACUCAAUAAGGCUAAAAUAGGAGAGAAAGCAAAUCAGUGCAGCUGAGGUCUGUCCAGCCUAACCUCCGUGAUUUCCCAAGUACACUUGUUAAUGCCAAAACCAGAAAGAACUCUAAGCGGUGCCAUUUGAAAACACCUUCAUUCUCACUAAGGAUUUAAAGAGAAAAUGAAACUGUGGAAAAGGUGAAAAGUGCAAUUAAAACCUCUUCAAUUCAGAGAAUCGAAGGCAGAGACCUUUCAAAGGUGAAGUUCCGGUAAAGCGUGCAAAGGGUGUCUGUAACCUCAACACUGCAGACAUUAUGAACAGACUACACGCACUUUAAAACUGAUCAACAGCCGCCUUUACACAGCAUUACCUCUGAGGACCAGAAAGAUUCCGUUUUGCGAAAACAGACUCUGACCAAAAAUCUCACACCUUCCACCCGGGAAUCAGUCUCUAAGCCAAUGAGACGCUCCUUAAGAGCAUAUGCAAUGAUCUGAGAGAAUUAAAACAACAUCCUGCCGGAACGACCAAAAACCAAGACACCACCGACUUUUAAAUCCAAAGCCUGGUAACUAGCGAAGAAAGCGCAGUCAAGAGCUGUCCGCGCUCCUGGGAGCGAGAUUCGAGCCCUGCUACUAGGCCUUGACUGGAGCUGUCCUAGAGGGAAGACCCCGGCCUGGGAAUUGAAGUUCUUGCCUCUGCGCACCGCACCUACUGGACCUCUGGCGGGCGAGCACCGCUGCUUGCCACUGAAAGUACUUAUAAAUAAAUAUCUGAGGAAUGAAUGAGCUGAAUGGUGCUUGGCUAGCCCCGGACACCGGGCACACCCUCCUUUUUUUGCACGACAGCAUACACACAACGGCAUCCAGGCCUUCCUUCUUUGCUGGUAUGUGGAAUGUGUGUUGCAAGCUUUUAGAGUUAGGAAAGUGCCUUGUACAGAGAUGACGAUCAGCGGUGAGCAUGCACAAUCUGGCAAAAAUCCCUGCGGCACCAGGAAGCUCUUGAGUAGUCUAUUAAGAGACUACCCAGCCCAAACCUACUCUUCCUAGGGAAAAAAAUUAACAAUAAAAUGUUUAAGAUUCCACACACCACCCCUUCUAGGAUUCAGGAUUCCUACCCUGGGUCUAAAUGAAUUCACACAUUACAGUUUGUUGUUUAUUCCACAAAGUCUAGACAAUGAAAUGUAAGACAAUGAAAUGCAGAUUGAGGGACAAAACUUAGUUCUGGGAGGUCCGGGUUCCAUUAGUUUACAAAUUACUCAUUGGUUGGCAACAAUUUCUCUUUAUCACUUCACUUCCUAGAGCAAAUAAUUUGUACACUCACAAAUGCCAAUUAUAUUCUACCUUAACACACACACACACACACACACACAGAGCAAGCAGACCCCCCAAUCAGAAGCCAAGGGUUUUCAAAUGUGCUGAAGGCACAAACAAUCAUGUAGAGCAAAACAGCCCUUAAACUGCACAUUACCAAAUUACCUAAUUGUACUGUAAACUUUUGGGGUUUUUGAGACAGGGUUUCAUGUGCCCCAGGGUGGCCUUGAACUGUAAAGGAAGAUGACCUUGAGCUUCUGAGUCUCCUGCUUCUGCCUCCCAACUGGUAAGAUAACUGUCGUGUAGGCCUGGUUUUCUGUAGAUCAAACUUAGAACUUUGUUCAUGCUAGCACUAUAUCAAACUGAACGGCAUCGCAGCAAUGUAGCACAUAGUUUUAGAUACAUUAAUGAUGCUGAUAAUACAAGCUUAUUCUUUUUUGUUGUUUUGUUUGUUGAAACAAGUUCUAUGCAGCCCUGGUUUCCUGAAACCUGCUAUGUAGACCAGGCUGGCUUUGAAUUCACAGAGAUCCACCUGCCUCUGCCUCCAGAGUGCUGGGAUCAAAGGCAUGCCCCACCACCACCACCUGGCAACACCUUUUAUUUGUUUGACUGGUUUGGUUUGGGGAGAUAGGGUUCUCACUAUUUCAGCCAAAUUGGACUUGAACUCACAGCAAUCCUCCUGCCUCAACCUAAUUGCCUCAAUUACAAAUGAGCACCACUGUGCUCUGACAAAUGUCUGCCUUAUUAGUUCAUCCUUAUCUGACUACCCUAUUUUAUUUUAUUAUGUAUGUGUAUGGGUGUUUUGCCUACAUAUAUGUCUUCUUCACAUGCAUGCAGUGCCCAAAAAGGCCAGUAGAGAGCUUCAGAUACCCAGGAACUGGAGUUACAGACUUUUGCCAGAACUGGAAUUACAGACUGUUGUGACCCGCCAGGUGGGUGCUAGGAAUUGAAUUCCAGAUUCUCUGAAAGAGUAGCUGGUGCUCUUAACCACAGAGCCACCUCUCCAGUCCAUGACCACAUCAUUUCGAAUCACACACACACAGGGCAGGAGAGAUGACUUAGCUCGUAAGGAUGCCUGCCAUCAAGCCUGACUACCUGCAUGCAGUCUCUGGAACCCACAUAAUGGGAGGAAAGAACUGACUCCAGCAUGUUCUCCUCUGACUUCUACAUAUGUGCCCACACACAUACACAGAAAUAAACAAACAAAUAAAUGUGAUUAUUUAACUU